GAAAACUGGCAGUUACAGGUCUCACCCAGCUCCCGCACAGCCCAAAGGGCUGUUCUCACUCCCACCGUGGCCCUCCCUGAAACAGCACCAAGUUUGUUUCCAGACAGCGGCUGAGCAGGGCUGAGAGCUUUCCUCAGUCUACCAGCCUUCCAGCUGAUAAAGCAAGCAGGGCUUCCAGGUUUCAUGUCUCCCUGCCUGCCACAGCUUCUGUGCUUUGUCUGCACUCCCAAUUCACCCCUUCCUCUGGGUUCUGUCCAGGAAACUUCAUGCUUGGUCAAAAUUGUUACAAAGUUCAGCUGGAAGUUUCCUUCUCCCUGUGUUUUUUUCCCAAUUCCUCUGGCAGCCCUCCCCAAGGACUCCUGUGAGACAAAGUCAGAAAUGACUUCCCUGGGGACUGAGAGAGACAACAGGGCUCUUCUCGAUGCUUCUUCUACCCCUGUAUUUUGCUCAGCUCUCUGAAGUUAUCUCAGUUCCAGGAGGGGAACUACUUGAGCAAAAGGCCCAGUGGAUUUGAGCCAAGUUCCAGAAGAGCAAUGAGAAUAUCAUAACCUCUCAGGAG
rnacentral:lncRNA from 10 species